rnacentral:rRNA from 1 species
UACGAAGGGGGCUAGCGUUGCUCGGAAUCACUGGGCGUAAAGGGUGCGUAGGCGGGUUUUUAAGUCAGGGGUGAAAUCCUGGAGCUCAACUCCAGAACUGCCUUUGAUACUGAAGAUCUUGAGUCCGGGAGAGGUGAGUGGAACUGCGAGUGUAGAGGUGAAAUUCGUAGAUAUUCGCAAGAACACCAGUGGCGAAGGCGGCUCACUGGCUCGUAACUGACGCUCAGGCGCGACAGCGUGGGGAGCAAACAGG